CGCGAAUUGCUCAUUACAACAGCCAUUGUUUACUGGAUCUUAAUAUCCUACUUGGAUAACUGUGGUAAUUCUAGAGCUAAUACACGCAAACAGCUCUGACCGCAAGGGAUGAGCGCAUUUAUUAGAACAAAACCAAUCGGGCUUGCCUGUCUUUGGUGGAUCUGAAUAACUCAGUUGAUCGCAUGGUCUCGCACCGGCGACGUAUCUUCCAAGUGUCUGCCUUAUCAACUUUUGAUGGUAGUUUAUGCGACUACCAUGGUUGUAACGGGUAACGGAGAAUAAGGGUUCGACUCCGGAGAGGGAGCCUGAAAAAUGGCUACCACAUCCAAGGAAGGCAGCAGGC
rnacentral:rRNA from 2 species